ACUCUCGUGGUAGUUGUCGUUUUGUAGUUUGGCUCCAUGAUGAAAACACGAUUCGAUGCCAAGUUGGGAAGAAAAUGAAGGAAGAAAACAUGAAGACAGCUGAGGAAGGGCAGCUAAGGGUCCUGAGAAGGGAGUGUAGGUGACUGGUCUGAGAAACGAUACCAGUGACCCUCUGGAAUAAUUCAGAUGACACCACCAAGGAAAGAUUCACCAACACAAAAGAGCAAGAAGGAAUGGAUGAAUUCCAUAAUAAUCAAGUAUAAGGAAACACAUGCGCCACCAGGGUUUACUGUGCUUUAUGCCUGACCUGCUGCGAAAGAACUGGCAGUUUCCGGAAUGCGUAUCCUGUACUUCUGUUCUCUGUUUCUGCUAUUCAACAUCAUGUUUCCAUUUUCUACCUGGCAAAAUAUCGACCUGUAAAGGCUCAGAGCUCAUGUCCUUUGGGUCUUCCCUGACUGUUUGGCCAAGCUCUUCAUCGACCUGUUCCCAUAAAAAAGCACCUUUCUCUAUGUUUGAGAACCAUGUAAGCACUGGCUUAUUGUUCAUUAUGCUGCUUCUGCGUCUCCCAAAGACCGAGAGUCUGAACAACAGACCACAUCUCUUAUUCACCUUAUAUCACUAGUAGUCAGGCUGCACUUCGUAUACAGGAAGAGUUCAAUAAAGGGUCUCUGG